CCUACGGGCGGCAGCAGUGAGGAAUAUUGGUCAAUGGGCGUAAGCCUGAACCAGCCAAGUCGCGUGAGGGAUGAAGGUUCUAUGGAUCGUAAACCUCUUUUAUAAGGGAAUAAAGUUUGGGACGUGUCCUGUUUUGUAUGUACCUUAUGAAUAAGGAUCGGCUAACUCCGUGCCAGCAGCCGCGGUAAUACGGAGGAUCCGAGCGUUAUCCGGAUUUAUUGGGUUUAAAGGGUGUGUAGGCGGCCUUUUAAGUCAGCGGUGAAAUUUUGUGGCUCAACCAUAGAAGUGCGGUGGAAACUGGGGAGCUUGAGUGUGUGUGAGGCAGGCGGAAUGCGUGGGGUAGCGGUGAAAUGCUUAGAUAUCACGCAGAACCCCGAUUGCGAAGGCAGCCUGCCAAGCCAUGACUGACGCUGAUGCACGAAAGCGUGGGGAUCAAACAGGAUUAGAUACCCUUGUAGUC
rnacentral:rRNA from 1 species